rnacentral:rRNA from 1 species
AGCAGUAGCCGCGGGAAAACAGAGGGUGCGAGCGUUAAUCGGAUUUACUGGGCGUAAAGCGUGCGUAGGCGGCUUCUUAAGUCGGAUGUGAAAUCCCUGAGCUUAACUUAGGAAUUGCAUUCGAUACUGGGAAGCUAGAGUAUGGGAGAGGAUGGUAGAAUUCCAGGUGUAGCGGUGAAAUGCGUAGAGAUCUGGAGGAAUACCGAUGGCGAAGGCAGCCAUCUGGCCUAAUACUGACGCUGAGGUACGAAAGCAUGGGGAGCAAACAGGAUUAGAUACCCCCUGUAGUCCCUGUCUCUUAUU